UGCAAGUCGAACGGUAACAGGCCGCAAGGUGCUGACGAGUGGCGAACGGGUGAGUAAUGCAUCGGAACGUGCCCAGUCGUGGGGGAUAACGCAGCGAAAGCUGCGCUAAUACCGCAUACGAUCUAUGGAUGAAAGCGGGGGACCGUAAGGCCUCGCGCGAUUGGAGCGGCCGAUGUCAGAUUAGGUAGUUGGUGGGGUAAAGGCUCACCAAGCCAACGAUCUGUAGCUGGUCUGAGAGGACGACCAGCCACACUGGGACUGAGACACGGCCCAGACUCCUACGGGAGGCAGCAGUGGGGAAUUUUGGACAAUGGGCGCAAGCCUGAUCCAGCAAUGCCGCGUGCAGGAAGAAGGCCUUCGGGUUGUAAACUGCUUUUGUACGGAACGAAACGGCUCUGGUUAAUACCUGGGGCUAAUGACGGUACCGUAAGAAUAAGCACCGGCUAACUACGUGCCAGCAGCCGCGGUAAUACGUAGGGUGCAAGCGUUAAUCGGAAUUACUGGGCGUAAAGCGUGCGCAGGCGGUUUUGUAAGACAGGCGUGAAAUCCCCGGGCUCAACCUGGGAAUGGCGCUUGUGACUGCAAAGCUGGAGUGCGGCAGAGGGGGAUGGAAUUCCGCGUGUAGCAGUGAAAUGCGUAGAUAUGCGGAGGAACACCGAUGGCGAAGGCAAUCCCCUGGGCCUGCACUGACGCUCAUGCA
rnacentral:rRNA from 1 species